GGGUCGAUGGCGUAGCUGGUUAUCGCAUCUGUCUAACAUAAUUAUUUAUGUAAUAAUCUUCACAGAAGGUCCUCAGUUCGAACCUGGGUCGACUCA